rnacentral:tRNA from 1 species
GCCGCCGUUGCCGAGGAUUCCCAGGGCGGCGCCGCCGGCGCCGCCGGCGACACCGUCGGUGGUGCUGUCCCAGCCGGCGCCGCC